rnacentral:rRNA from 1 species
AACGCGAAGAACCUUACCUGGUCUUGACAUCCACAGAGCCUGGCAGAGAUGCCGGGGUGCCUUCGGGAACUGUGAGACAGGUGCUGCAUGGCUGUCGUCAGCUCGUGUUGUGAAAUGUUGGGUUAAGUCCCGCAACGAGCGCAACCCUUAUCCUUUGUUGCCAGCGGUCCGGCCGGGAACUCAAAGGAGACUGCCAGUGAUAAACUGGAGGAAGGUGGGGAUGACGUCAAGUCAUCAUGGCCCUUACGACCAGGGCUACACACGUGCUACAAUGGCGCAUACAAAGAGGAGCGACCUCGCGAGAGCAAGCGGACCUCAUAAAGUGCGUCGUAGUCCGGAUUGGAGUCUGCAACUCGACUCCAUGAAGUCGGAAUCGCUAGUAAUCGUGAAUCAGAAUGUCACGGUGAAUACGUCCCCGGGCCUUGUACACACCGCCCGU